rnacentral:rRNA from 1 species
AACGAACGCUGGCGGCAUGCCUAACACAUGCAAGUCGAACGGGGUCUUCGGGUCUAGUGGCGCACGGGUGCGUAACGCGUGGGAAUCUGCCCUUUGGUUCGGAAUAACAGUUGGAAACGACUGCUAAUACCGGAUGAUGACGAAAGUCAAAAGAUUUAUCGCCAGAGGAUGAGCCCGCGUGGGAUUAGCUAGUUGGUGUGGUAAAGGCGCACCAAGGCGACGAUCCUUAGCUGGUCUGAGAGGAUGAUCAGCCACACUGGGACUGUGACACGGCCCAGACUUCUACGGGAGGCAGCAGUGGGGAAUAUUGGACAAUGGGCGAAAGCCUGAUCCAGCAAUGCCGCGUGAGUGAUGAAGGCCUUAGGGUUGUAAAGCUCUUUUACCCGGGAUGAUAAUGACAGUACCGGGAGAAUAAGCUCCGGCUAACUCCGUGCCAGCCGCCGCCGUAA